CGGUUAAGCACGCCUAAUGGAUGUCAAUGACUAUCAGGAAAGCGCUAUACGUCAUUGUCAAUGGACCGGGCCGUUUGUCAGACCACAGAAACUCCCCAACGACUGAAAACGAGUCAUAGGCUUAUGGACAAAGCUAGAGAAAUAUGAUAAAGAAAGACAGACAGACAAGUUGCAUAAUUUGCUGUUGUCACUGGGGUUUGAACCCCCAACCAUGCAUUGAGUGGUAGUUAUUAUUAUAUUGUAUUAUUAAUCAUUAUUGUUAUCUAUUGUUUGGCACUUACACUUAUUUAUAGUUAAAAUUCAUUAAUAACUUGUAUGUGGCAAUAGUUUACUGGUUCUUGCGUUGUUGUAGCAAUGGUUGUGACGUUCAUCGAGAGCUGUGUGGGUUUUUCUUUGCUCAAGACAAUUCUCUCACUUUGUAUGAGUUUCGACAACUCAGUAGUCGGUCAUCUGCAUUGCCUCUAAUUCAGAGAAAUUCAUAUGUUCAUGCGAGAGGACCAAAAGUAGGACAAUCGAUAACAUUGUCUGACAUUGAUAUGGGUGGGAGUCGUACCUUUGACACUCGUGAUCAGUUGUCGUUGCUAGCAUCGAUGAAGUGUCGACAAUAUGUUGAGUUUAAAGUAACAGAUGUUGAUGAUCUGGCUAAGCAGAGACUACUGCAAUAGAAUCGCAACAAAUAUGGAAGUCCAGCAGACAAUCUAAGACAGUCGACUGAAGUAGAAAACACUCUUUCUACUUUAAUGUCAAGUAUUCGAUCUCAAUCGCGGAAUCAGAUUAAAGCAAGGGCGUGUCAUAUUAGACUGACCUUGAUAAGGCAUUUGUUUCAUCUCAAUCGAUCCGAAGACGGUUUAGUUAAAUUAUCCAAAUUUCUACAGACACUCAAUAUGUAUCACAUCAGAAUUAAUGAAGAGGUUGUGAAAAGAUUGUGUUUAUUGUUGUAUGGUAACAGCACGGACUUAGUUGAUUACAAUGAGCUUCUUUAUUGCUGUUUGGGAAAGAUGAAUGAACGAAGACUCCAGUUAGUUAGAAAGGCUUUUAUCAAGAUGGAUGCACAUAAAUCAGGUUUUAUCUUUCUUAGUGAGAUGAAGAAAUUUUUGAUUUGAGAGGCCACCCUGAUGUGUUUAAUGGUUGUCGGACUGAAUAUGAUGUGAUUCAGGAGCUUUACUCUGCAGUAGCGGGACCAAAAAAGAAACAGGAGGAGCUUUCAGAUGCAGAGUUUGAAGCAUUUUAUGAGGGUAUCAGCAUGAACAUUGACGACGACGACACCUUCAUUGAUGUGAUGAAGAGAUGUUGGAAUGUAUAAUGAUACACAUGCAAGCCUAACUAGGUUACACGUUUUAGUACUGCUUAUAUGCCACAAGUUACAACUAUUUGAUUGUAGUAUUCUGUAGAGCCUUUUACCUUUUACUGUAAAAAAAUUUCACUAGUGAUUGAUAACUGACUACCAUUUUCCAGAUGAGAAACUAGAAAUAAUAGUUCG